GGGGCUGUGGUCCAGGGCUUGGGCAUCUGCUUUGCAGGCAAGAAGGUCCCUGGUUCAAUCCCAGGCAGCUCCA
rnacentral:tRNA from 1 species